rnacentral:rRNA from 1 species
CGUAGGGUGCGAGCGUUAAUCGGAAUUACUGGGCGUAAAGCGGGCGCAGACGGUUAUUUAAGCAGGAUGUGAAAUCCCUGGGCUCAACCUGGGAACUGCGUUCUGAACUGGAUAGCUAGAGUGUGUCAGAGGGGGUAGAAUUCCACGUGUAGCAGUGAAAUGCGUAGAGAUGUGGAGGAAUACCGAUGGCGAAGGCAGCCCCCUGGGAUAACACUGACGUUCAUGCCCGAAAGCGUGGUAGCAAACAGGAUU